UGGACAGAUUAUUGUAUUCGACUGUAUUCACGGCGUGGAAUAGGGGAUUACACUGUUUUUAAAACGGAAAGUGAAUCAAUUAACAUAAUAGACUCCU
rnacentral:pre_miRNA from 1 species